GACGAACGCUGGCGGCGUGCUUAACACAUGCAAGUCGAACGGAAAGGCCCUGCUUUUGUGGGGUGCUCGAGUGGCGAACGGGUGAGUAACACGUGAGUAACCUGCCCUUGACUUUGGGAUAACUUCAGGAAACUGGGGCUAAUACCGGAUAGGAGCUCCUGCUGCAUGGUGGGGGUUGGAAAGUUUCGGCGGUUGGGGAUGGACUCGCGGCUUAUCAGCUUGUUGGUGGGGUAGUGGCUUACCAAGGCUUUGACGGGUAGCCGGCCUGAGAGGGUGACCGGCAACAUGGGAAGGGAGAUGCGGCCCGGCCUCCGACGGGGGGCAGGGGUGGGGAAUAUUGCACAGGGGGGGGAGGCCGGACGCAGCACCGCCGCGUGGGGGAUGGCGGCUGGCGGUGUGAAACCCUGUUUCGCCGGUAAAGAAGGGUGGGGGGGGGAAAGGGAAAAAGAAGCACCGGCUAACAAGGGC
rnacentral:rRNA from 1 species